rnacentral:rRNA from 1 species
CCUACGGGUGGCUGCAGUAAGGAAUAUUGGUCAAUGGAGGAAACUCUGAACCAGCCAUCCCGCGUGAAGGAUGAAGGGGCUCUGCCUUGUAAACUUCUUUUGUCUGGGGCGAAAAAGCUCGAUUUAUCGAGAACUGACGGUACCAGAAGAAUAAGCACCGUCUAACUCCGUGCCAGCAGCCGCGGUCAUACGGAGGGUGCAAGCAUUAUCCGUAAUCACGGGGUUUAAGGCGUGUGUAGACGUCUUAGGUGAAAGGCUGUGGCUUAACCAUGGAAUUGCCAUUGAUACUGCAGAGCUUGAAUGAGGUUGAGGUUGGCGGAAUGUGACAUGUAGCGGUGAAAUGCUUAGAUAUGUCAUGGAACACCGAUUGCGAAGGCAGCUGACUGGACCUAUAUUGACGCUGAGGCACGAAAGCGUGGGGAGCGAACAGGAUUAGAUACCCGAGUAGUC